rnacentral:rRNA from 1 species
CAGCAGCCGCAGUAAUACGAAGGGUGCAAGCGUUAAUCGAAAUUACUGGGCGUAAAGCGUGCGUAGGCGGUUUGUUAAGUCUGUUGUGAAAUCCCCGGGCUCAACCUGGGAAUGGCAAUGGAUACUGGCAAGCUAGAGUGUGUCAGAGGAUGGUGGAAUUCCCGGUGUAGCGGUGAAAUGCGUAGAGAUCGGGAGGAACAUCAGUGGCGAAGGCGGCCAUCUGGGACAACACUGACGCUGAGGCACGAAAGCGUGGGGAGCAAACAGGAUUAGAUACCCGGGUAGUCCCUGUCUCUUAUAC